CAAAAGUCAGAUCUCUAUUCCAUCUCAUCUGGAACGUAGGAAUUCUUCUGCAGCCGACCCGAGGUGCUCAAGAUCAUACGUUAUGGGACAGCUACGAUGUCCUUUUCUGGUGGCUCUCGCUCUAACGGCAGCUUGGUUAGGAACAGAUGCAACUAUAGACCGCUAUGCUAUUCACUUCAACUGUAAUACCCCAGAGGGCCUCUACUACAUCAGCUCCAGCAAGUGGAUAGGAAAAUCGGCUAGAGAUGUUAACUCAACUUGUGCUUCGGGUUAUGGAUAUCAUAUACUGCAAGCUUCAGAAGCAAAUUCAACAUGUUUCCGCGAUUACUUGGCUCACAUUGACUAUAUGCUUGAUGCCAGCGUUACCGUCUACACCGAAUCAAAUGGAAACAUAUCUUGCUACCGGUCGAGGGGUCCAUGCCCGGACUCAGGGCCUAUCAUUGUGUGCAGCAAUAAGCUCGCUGAUGCUAGCAAUGCUACUGGUAACUUAAGAUGUCCAAAAAAUCUAAUGAUCUCAAAUGGAAAAGUACUCUACCCGUCAGACAAUGUCUUUCCAUCUCAAGCAGUGUACAUAUGCAACCCAGG